CCUCAAGUUGUGGGUCCUGCACAGUCAUUUAAUGUGCAGAUGCUUUGGGAAUUUGAUCUUUGCAAACUCCUACACAAAUUGCCCUAAGGGUUAUUUCUUGGGACUGAUGUCUGGAACUUAGGCGGCAGUCUUGCAUGACAAGGCCAUGUGACCCAUUCGCUCCCAAUGUAAUGAAGCAGAAUGUAGACCAGUCAAGACAGCAGAAUGUAGGUUUUGCAGGGUUAAGAUAGGCCGCAACUUUAUUGGUUACAGAUAUGAAAGAACUGAGGAGAAGUGCUGGGCUGGCCUCAAUUUAUUCCUCAGCGGGUGGGCACAAUGGCGGCCCACUGACCUGCAGUCCUCCCCAGCCAGCUGCCAGAUCGUGGCUAGGCUGCAAUGCUGCCUGACAGUUUAAGGUAAGCAGACUUAAAGUCUCAAGCUGAACAUAAGGCUAAUGGAACUUACUACUGAAUAGGAUAGUGGCCUGUCAGUGAUCCUACAGAUUCUGCACUCCCCCAAACGUGGUAAUGCGGUUUAAACUGUCUUAAAAUAUGAAUUAAAAGGUGAACUUUUGCAAUAAGAUAACGUUGAUUUUGAGAGGAAAACUACAUUUGUGCAUUUAUUAAAAUGCACAAGGGGCUUUGGAAUACAGUAAGCCUGCAACUUAUGCACAUUUAGCUUGUGCGCAUUCAGCUUUAUGAGUGAAACAAAAAAAUGAAGAAAAAAGCAGUGGAAACAGGGCAGGGUUCAAUGGGAAAUGACAUUGGCAGUCCCACCUGCCAUUGAACCCAGUGGGUUUUGACUAAACACAAUUUUGGCUUUAGGCAUGAUCCCCAGAAUAUAACCCCUAUGUAAGUUGCAGGUUCACUGCACUUUUUAAAAAUUGUUGUUGUUGUUUAGUCAUGUCCAAUUCUUCAUGACCCCAUGAACCAUAGAAUGCCAGGCACUCCUGUCUUCCACUGCCUCCCACAGCUUGGUCAAACUCAUGUUCAUAGCUUCGAGAACACUGUCCAACCAUCUCAUCCUCUGUCGUUCCCUUCUCCUUGUGCCCUCAAUCUUUCCCAACAUCAGGGUCUUUUCCAGAGAGUCUUCUCUUCUCAUGAGGUGGCCAAAAUAUUGGAGCCUCAGCUUCAGGAUCUGUCCUUUUUUUAAUUAAAAAGGUGCAGAUUGAUGCAAAAGUGGAUCUACUAUGGCACGAUGAGAAAUAGGCUGAUUUGGCCAUCCCUGGUUUAAUGCUUAAAUGAAGAAUUGUUUGCUUUGCACACUAUCUGAUCACAGGGUUAGGCUGUGCUCAAAACCCCAUAGAAAUUCUCAAGUGCCUUGAGAAUGAGUCAGAAAAAUGGAAACCUUUCACACAUUGGAAUAAAACUUUCAAAAAGCUAGAAUAUACAUAUUGACACGGCACUAAUCUUAACAGACUGAUCUUGCAAAAAAUAAUAAUGUUUCAUUCUUUAAAAGUUGUGUACAGGGUUUCUUUUGAGAUUAUCCAGCAUCUUUUAUAAUCUUUAGGAGGAAUACAAACAUAUUUGAUCUUAUGUGUCUCAAUUCUGAGCUGUUAUCUCUCAAAUUACUGGUGUUAAUGUCAGGUCUGACCCUAUGGUGGACUUGCUGAAUCACAUUAAUAAUCAUUUUCAGUGGGCUGCUGAAUUAUUUUUUAAAAACCAUUUAUUAGCUACCAAGAUUGUUCUGGCCUGACAAUGGAGAAUAGCUGUAAACCUGCAAUCAAAUGGUGGCUGAUAAAAGUGUUAAAAGUGUAAGAAAAACGCUGGGGCCUAAAUUGAUCAGUAGAGUGUUUGGUAUGUGGUGGGCGGGGCUUGUGUGUUCUACUCCGGAAUCAGCCCCUCCCUUCAGUCUGUGUUCUGUUAAGAAUGUCAGUUAAGAGGGACCAACUGCCUCUUCUUGCCUCAGACUUGCCCUAUGUGGUUGUAUUUAGUUUCUCUCAUUAUGCAGUUUUGAUUAUUAUUAAAGCUUAGUUUAUAUUUUUGCGAGCCUCUUAUUUUUCUCGAAGAAACUCUGCUGAGGAAAGCAGUGGAAUGUCCUAAACUACAUGAGUGAGGGAAUAUUCCCAGUUUGCCAGGAUUGAUUUUGUUAACCAUCCUCACCACCACCCCCCCACACCUCCAUGACAAAAAGAUUGCUGAAAUAAGAUUACAGACAAGAUUCAAUGAGGAAAAAGUUCAGACUGCAAAGGGGAGAAAAAUGGUCUUCAUUUACUGUAUAUUUAAUGAUUUUUAAAACUCACUGGUUUACAACCACAACUCACAUAGUGUUUGUUAUGCCAUGCCAUGCCAAUCUCUACGAGCAGUGUGAGAUUCCAGGGGUAUCAGGCGUGCUUACCAGGGUCUGUGUUCCCUUUCGGGACAGUGAGGCACCACAGAGACUUGUGGUGUCUUUAUAUGGUUUAUUUACACAUAUAUGUAACCUGCACCUAAAUGGGAGGAUUGUAGAGCAUUCACAUCCUAAGAGGGGCUGGUGCUUCCCAGCAGUACAACAUUGGAUUCAGAGGCACCCCUUGUCUAGUUCUGCCGCUUCCUCCUCCUUUCCAGCAACACUUGUAGAAAACAACUUUUCUGCUUCCAGCAUCCUGCCCCCCGCCCCGGUCACACUGGCAACUUACUCAAGCCCACUGCAAAAGGCCCUUUUUCCCUAUUGCUUACAGCAGACGAUUGGCAAUCCUACCCAAAAAAACUACUGGGAACAGAGUCUGAUAUUUUGCCAAUUGCUCACCAUUAUCAAACAAACCAGGUCCUUACCAGCCCUUUGCUUCUUCAAGACCCACCCACAGCAAACCGUUUCAUGAGGAAGCUAGCUAGUAUUCUUUCCUGCCCUUGCUAAUUAAUAAAUGUAUGAGUUUGCUCAAAUUCUAAUCCUUCACUGAAUGUAGAGCUUAUGGGUGGUCUGCCCACCCCCACCCCCCGGGCAAGUUAUAACAGUAGGAACACAAGCAGCUGCCUUAUACCCUUAUCAGACCAACUAGUGGUCCAUCUAACUAAGUGUUUCUACACUGUUUGCAAGUGAGUCUCCUUUCCUAGAGAAAUUGUGUGUGCCAAAAUACACACAUAAAGUGUUGGAGUGGCAUUGCCACUAGGAAACAAUAGAGGUAUCCAUGUCUAAACCAGAUUAUAUGUAAAUUCCUCCACACAGCUGCCACCUCAGAAGUGUUUAGGCUAUCCUGAAGGCCUCGGAUACUUUUAAAGCCCCAUCGGCAACAUCCUUUAAAACCUAAAUGGCUUACCUGCUCAUGAAUUUGUCUCAUGAAUGCAGUGAAGUAGCAUCCUAGAAUCAUAUUUACUUAGCUGAUGAGACCAGAUGAAUGAAAAUGUGUCAUCUGUUCACUCCAGGCAAAAUGUAUGGUAUAUUGCUAACAUCGCAUAUUUAAAAUAAUUUUACCCAGAUUUAAAAUCUAGGGCAAAAACAAAUAUGUCCUCCUAAUCCCGGAACACACGGCAACCGUCGGAACUGCAAUAAGUGAUUUAAAGCUUAAAUUCUGUAUUAACCACCCGGCACACAUGGAAGAUUUUCUUUGAAAUAAUAAUAUGCAAAGGCUCCAAAGUCAUUAACCACUAAACAAACUAUGGGGAAAAGAAUUUUUGGAAAUGCCUGAUCUUGAAAACACAAUAGUUUCACUUUUUAUCUCUUUAGCAAAGCUGCUUAAACUCUACACAAUUGGAAGAGCCACCAUCAGCUUUUCUAAGGAAGUUUGAGAACAGCCCACUACAUUUCUUCAGAUUGCUGAAGAUUUGAGGGAACAGCAAAAGUAAUACUGUUUGUUAGGUCUGUCUCUGCAUCUUUUCCUCACCAUCUGGUGAGGACCUUACUCAGAGUUUGGCUCCCCUCUUUCAUUACAGGAAGCCAUUCUGUUUGCUUUGUUUUACAUACAAUGUUGUCUCCCCUGUAUUUUCUUUCCUCCUCUUCUUUCUCAGUCUCAUAAAUCUUUCCUCCCAUCCAUUCUCUUGUAUUAGCAAUUAGGGAUUAGUGAUGGCACACCCUAGGCUCAAGUUGGGGCAUCUUCCAGGAAUGAAUCUCUCACUCCUGUUGCCUAGUGUGACCCUGCACCAUGACAGGAUUCAACACUGGGCAACACCCAGUGAGGGGGUUGGGGUGUUUCCCAACCCUGAUGGAAUGCUAUUCCAACAGUAUGGUCUGAGUGGAAUGCCCUGCAAUCCUACUGCCAUGCCAACAUCUCUCCCCACCUAAUAAUCAUUAAGGAUUUGGCCUGUUUUCACCAAACUCUUGGUCUCCUGUGUUGACUUUCACAGGCCACAAAAUGUGCCUGCCUGGGCAAACCACUGCUGCACCCUCCCUGCAAUCCUUCCAAUGUGAGGUGUUCCCACUCACCUAGAGUCCUACCAGCACUUGGAAAAUCAAGACAUAACUUGCAAUGGAGAGGACUAACCCACACUUUACCUUUUGCACCACUCUCUUCAGGCGCUCGUCUACUUUUAAAAGCUCCGUGUCUGAGCAGUUUUGCUUUGUUUUGUUUGUUUUGUUUUGCCCUGGAGCUUUGCCCCCGAAAACGCACUCUUUGGCACCCAACUGGAGCAAACGUCAAUUCAGGUUUUCUGGAGAUUGCUGUUUACUCCAAUUGAACUUUAAAGAACAGGUGAGGACCAUGCCUGGCAAGAGCGUAGCAAAGAUAAGUGUGGAUAAGCCCAAAGUUACAGGGACAAGCAAACUCAGUUUUGGUUCCCUACCCUUUUUAAACCCAUCAUGAGCUAGAGGGCAAACCUCUGAACCAGGGCAUGUACUCAACUCAGGAAAGAUUCCUUACCUGGUUAAGAACUCAGGAGUUAUAUUUAUGGUUAUCCUAGAGCAAAGUGAGAUUCCACUGUGAAUCAGCUAAAUUACCAUUCAUCAAGAAGUUGAAUUCUUUUCAUUUGGGUGUGAAUAGGGACAAUGGCUUGCCCUACCACAACUGAUGUUAAUUAAUUCAUCAUGGCUAAGAUGGUUGUAUUGUAAUCUAUCACUCUGAAGGGUCACUGCUUAUUUUGCCUGCAUUUAAGUGCUAAUUUAGUUGUCAGUAGCUGUACUUAUUUUUUUCAAUUCUCUCUGACCAUACUGCUUGCAAAUAAUAAUAAUAAUAAUAAUGGCAAUUAUUAUUAUUAUUAUUAUUUGUAUCCCACCGACCUAACUGGGUUUGCCCAGCCACUCUGGGCGGCUCACAGCAUAUAUCAGAGCAUACUAAAACAUCAAACAUUUAAAACUUCCCAAUACAGGACUGCCUUUAAAAGUCAGAUAGUUGUUUAUUUCCUUAACAUCUGAAGGGAGGGUGUUCCACAGGGAGAGUAUCCCUACCAAGAAGGCCCUCGGCCCAGUUCCCUACAACCUCACUUCUUGCAGUGAGGGAACCAGAAGAAUAUUCUUGGAGGAGGACCUCAGUGUCUGGGCUGAAUGAUGAGAGAGGAAACUCUACUUCAGGUAUACAGGACCGUGGCUGUUUAGGGCUUUAAAGGUCAGCACCAACACUUUGAAUUGUGCUCGGAAACACACUGGGAGACAAUGAAGCUCUUUUAGGACUGGUGUUAUAUGGUCCUGGCGGCCACUCCCAGUCACCAGUCUAGCUGCCAUAUUCUGGAUUAGUUGUAGUUUCUGGGUUGCUCUCAAAGUUAGCCCCACAUAGAGUGCACUGCAGUAGUCCAAGGGGGAGAUAAGCAGAACAUGCACCACUUGGGUGAGACAGUCUGCGGGCAGGUAAGGUCUCAGCCGGCGUACCAGGUGGAGCUGGUAGACAGCUGCCCUGGACACAGAAUUGACCUGCGCCAUGGACAGCUGUGAGUGCAAAAUGACUCCCAGACUGCACACCUGGUCCUUCAGGGGCACACUUUCCUCAUUCAGGACCAGGGAGUUCUCCACACCUCCUGUCUCCCCAAAGCAGUACUUCUGUCUUGACAGGAUUCAACCUCAAUCUGUUAGCCGCCAUCCAUCCUCCAACCACCUGUAUAUAUAUACCUGCCAUUUAAUAUUGAAGUUCAUGCACCUGACAAAGCGAAUUCAAGUCCAUUGCAACUUUUGCCAUCAUAAAUUUGCAAAUCCUGAAGAUGUGACCGUUUUCCCUGCAACACAAAGUAACACAUCUACUGCUUUGGAAACUGAAUAAACAUAGAAAUGUAGGGAGCUGGCUUAUACCAAGUCUGACGUUGGUUCUUCUCUUUCAAUGUUAUCUAUACUGACUAGCAACAGAUCUCCAGGAACAGGUACUAUAGGAAUUCUGCUGUUGUGGCUUCUGAUGCAAACUGAGCUGAUUCACCCCUCCCUGAAUAAUGUGUGACUUGGAAUACAAUUAUCCUGCAGAUUUCACACUCCUAGUGGUGUAGCAGUAAAUUAUGAAGCACAGGAGCUCAUAAUGAUGGACCCUAUAGCCAUGUCCCCAUGGAGAGUCCAAAAUGAAGGCAACUGUGUUGCUCAAUGUAUGAAUAUACAUAUACACACACUACAAAGCGGAGCAGUGCAUAGCAAUGUCCUCAAUUUAUUAGGAUCAGCUGACAGUAAAAAAAGAUAUUUGUUGAAUAAAAUAAACAUAAAAAAACACUGAACUUUAACCAAAGAUCUUCAGCAACCUGAAAUGAAAUGCAACCUUUGUCUUUAAUUAGGUAUGAAAAUAAUCUGGCAAAGAAGUGUUGCCAUUAAAUCAGCUAUUCUGAAGGAGAGAUCCCAUCAAAUAAAAGGGAAGAAGAACCUAGCCUCUGUUUGACUAUUUUCCUUGUACCCUGACUUCCUCCAUGCUGAUUUGUGACCAACACUAAGAAAACAUGAAUGUCUCAUCACCUCAUUCACCUCCCUCGAUUACCCAGGCACCCUAGCAGAAAACAUCAUCACUCCUGCCCUGAAAAAAACCUCCUGGAGCUUCCCCCUUCUGUGCUCCCCCUCCAGUACAUCACUGCUUGCCUUUUUGAAUUUUGCAAUACAAAUUUCAGCUAAUAAAAUGCACAAAAAUGCAUUUUAAUGUGUGUGUUUUUAAUAAGCUGCCUUUAGAAAUGUAUACAAUGAGACACAAGAUGCAC